rnacentral:misc_RNA from 1 species
GUGAAUCAUCGAAUUUUUGAACGCAAAUUGCACUCUCUUCGGAGAGUACGCCUGUUUGAGGGUCAGCCUAAAAAAAAUCGACAUAGUCGCUGUUUCGCGGUGACAUUCGGCGGUAAUUGGGUCAUCUUAAUCCUUUGGGUUUUAAGCGGCUUAAAAUUUUCUUUACUAUUCUACGAACGUUUCUAAGAAUUACUUACACGUUUAAGGUUUCGAUUUUUUUUAGACGCAGCCGUUG